GAUGAGAAUAAUAAUAUUAUAUUAUUGUUAUAAUGAUUUUACAGUACAAUAAUUAUGUACUGUGUAUGUGCGGACAGAUAAUAUUGAGCAAUGACGGUCAAUUAGGUCAUAGCAUAUUACCGUGCUGUGAAACCCUAAUUAUUAAACUCAGUUACGAGAUAUGACUGAGUAGUGACUGUGUAUAUGAAGGUUACUGUGUAUAAGAUGUCGGUAAUUAGAAGAAAACCCUAAUUACUGUUGUAUGUCGAUAAUUAGGACAAACCCUAAUUAUUACAACCCUAAUCGGUUGAAGUUAGAGAUCGUAAUGACUGUGUUAGAACAUACACAGAUAAUUAGAGAACCCUAAUGGUCAAUUAGAAACCCUAAUUGAUGGCGUUAAGAAACCCUAAUUAGAAAAUCCUAAUUUUCUAUAGAAAACCCUAAUUUAAAAUUAUCGGGUUUAAUUACGAUGUUAAUGUAUAAAAGUUUUAAUUUACCAAAGGAUAGAAUUAAUUGGUAAAUGAUAAGAAUUACCAUCUAGUGAUUAAAUAUUAUAUUUAAUUGCCUUGUACAAAAAUGCCCAUGAAAUUAUAUGUGAAAUUACCAAAAUACCCUUUUAGUGUAUUAUUAGUAGCAUUGUUGAUGGAAUCUUCAAUUAUGCUAGCUAAUCAAUGCCUUCUAGAAUUCCCUCAUGCUACUAUACCAUUACACCUCAAUUAUACCAACCAAUUUAGCAUCCAAGGCAAUUAAUUUGGCUUAUAAAUAGAUUGGAAAGUUAACAUUAUUUUGCACACUAAAAUUUCACAAACUCUCUA
rnacentral:lncRNA from 1 species